UUGACCUAGGCAUGCUGUUUGUAUUUGAGCAGUUCGCUGGAUGUCCUACUCUUUAUCAUGGUGUCCACAAUACGUUCCAUGGUUUUGAGUAGAAAGGAAUUUAUUAUCCAUAUAGAGAUAUGCGAUAUUGACUUGGAAAACGGCGCUGAGUACAGAAUAUAACAUAUGUGGAUCUAGAUUUCGUGGUACUGUACUGUACGCAAAAUGCUAAAAUUGGCCAUGCCCCCCCGUCUAUGAAGAGAAGUUAAUAAUGGAAACGAUUGUUCUUUCUUUUUUCCAAAGCCUGGGAUCAUUAAAUAAAAAUAUUUUUAAAUUUUUAAGCACAUAUUUCAUGUUUAAUAUGCAAUUUAA